rnacentral:rRNA from 1 species
AUUGAACGCUGGCGGCAUGCCUUACACAUGCAAGUCGAACGGUAACAGGUCUUCGGAUGCUGACGAGUGGCGAACGGGUGAGUAAUACAUCGGAACGUGCCUAGUAGUGGGGGAUAACUACUCGAAAGAGUGGCUAAUACCGUAUGAGAUCUACGGAUGAAAGCAGGGGAUCGAAAGACCUUGUGCUACUAGAGCGGCCGAUGGCAGAUUAGGUAGUUGGUGGGAUAAAAGCUUACCAAGCCGACGAUCUGUAGCUGGUCUGAGAGGACGAUCAGCCACACUGGGACUGAGGCACGGCCCAGACUCCUAAGGGAGGCAGCAGUGGGGAAUUUUGGACAAUGGGCGAAAGCCUGAUCCAGCAAUGCCGCGUGCAGGAUGAAGGCCUUCGGGUUGUAAACUGCUUUUGUCGGGGAGGAAAUCCCCAGCGCUAAUACCGCUGGGGGAUGACAGUACCUGAAGAAUAAGCACCGGCUAACUACGUGCCAGCAGCCGCAGUAACAC